GAUCAUAAAAUCAUAGAUGAAUCUUAAUUGGCACUGACCUGUAAAUUUCCUAUUAGAAGUGCAAACAAUACCAGGCCAGAGAUGGCAAAGUAAAUUUUCCAUAUAUCCUUCACUCCAACAAUAUGGGCUUUUAAUUGGUUUGAAGGAUAGAAUGGGCUAUUAUUAAAAAGAAAAAAAAAAGGAGGGAAAACUGGCCGGCCCAAAAUGAAAAAAGAAAAAGAGGGAAAAAAGCGGGAACUUCUCGUUUGGAGUCAAACGGAAGUCGAUCUUAAGAAAGACCCUACUUAAUCGCGAUCUCUGUCGUUCGUCUCUUUACAGCCGACGGCGGUUCUCGACGACGACCGUUCAACAAAAAAACAAAGCAAAAAAUCCCUCCCUCUCUCGAGAGCUGUUCAACCGACGACGACGACGUCUCUCCCGGAGCAACCCUCACAAUACUUGAAACUGAGCCACCGGAUGAUGGAGACAAUCUUGAUGGUACCCACACAACUCCGAGUUCACCUGUACCAUUUGAUUCACCAACAUCUCGUACAAGAGGAGCUCUUCAAAGGUUAGCUUCUAAGGGUGUUGUUUCACCAAUUAUAGAGGUAUCACAAGAAGUAGGUGAGGAUCUAAACGAAGCUUAACCAAACCACACAACUCUUAGUUCAUCUGUACUCACACAACUCCCAAAAAAGCGUAGAGGUCCUACAAAGAUGAAAACCCUUGCAACUGAGGAGUGUGAUGAAGUGAAUAUAACCUUUAAUCAGUUUGAACAACCGAUUGGUGAAGCUUCAGUUGGAUUGUCCUCAUUUCUAGGUCCACUUGUGAGAGAGGUAGUGCUUAUGACUUUAAAUGAUUGGAGAAAAUUGUCAACAAGAUACAAGAAAAUCUUAUGGACAUCAAUUCAAUUAAGAUACAAUGUGAAAGAAGAUUGGCAAAGAAGAUAUUUUUUUCCAAAAGAUGGGAAGAUUGUGGAGAGUUGGAAAAUCACGAAUGGUGAAACAAAUUCAAUCAACCUCCAACAACAAAGAGCUUAGUAAAAUGAAGUCAUCCAAUAUACAAUCUACGCAAGAUUGGAUGGACUUUGUGAAAGAAAAGAAGAGUGCACGGUUCAAGGCUGAAAGUGCAAAGUUCAAAUCAAUGAAGAAGAGGCAACUUCCACAUACAUGUAGCUGUAAAGGUUAUGCUCGACUGGCGGAAGAUUUGGUAUUCAUUAUUCUAAAGUAAAAAUAUAAUGAUGUUCUUAAAUCUAAUACUAUAUCUAACUACAUUGCAAUUUUUUAAGAAAAAAAUUCUAUGGACUUAUCAUUAGUAACAAGGGUCGCAUUAUGGACUAAAGCACCUAGGAAGAAAGAUGGAACUCUCAUUAACUCAGAAGUUGCAGAAACAUUGAGCGUAUCAAUGAAAUUGAAAAUAAAGGGAUAAACACUUCUUCAAAAGAUGUGGCAAACAAUGCAAUAAGCAAGGUUCUUGGUCCUGAUCGAAGUCAUAUUAGAGCAUUUGGGUUUGGAGUCACUACAUCGAACUUUUCUUUAUUGUCUCAAAAAGAUGACCAUUAUGCCAAACUUGAAAGAAAAGUAUGAGAAGAUGGAGGUUGAAAUGACUCAAAUGAGAUCUUUAAUAUCUCACCUUCUUAAAUCACAAUGUAAUGGAAGCGACCAACUUUCUAAUGCUACAAAUGAUCAAGUGGUUAACAAUAUUGCUACUAACCCGAUUGGAACUUCACCUCCGAGUAUUAAUGACAACAAUACUCUUCGCAAGUGCACAUUGCAGAUUGGGGUGGUACAGGAGAGGUGGUUGCUGAAGGUCGAUGGUUCUCAAAUGAUCCUAAAGUUACUGUUCACCAUGUUCCUCUCGGUCCUCAUGCUGUUAGAGUUUACAUGGACUUGCCAAAGAAGUCGGAUGCAAUUUUAUGGAGACCUAACUCAUAGAUGACAUACAUUGAGGAUGUUGUUGGAAGCACAGUUGCAUGGCCUCUUGACAAAGUUAUUUUAAGUAUGUACAUUCUUUAACUAUUAACUUCUAGCUCGCUUUUUCAACUAAAAUCAUUUGUGUAUAAACUUAGUUAGUCAUUUAGUUUUGCUCAUAAUUUUUUUCUAGGUUGAUGAAAGAACAAUUGUACAAAGCCCAAGAAUGUUAUGACCAAGAAUUGUACAAAGCCCUAUUACCUUUUUGUAACUAAUGAAUAGUAUAGGUUGAUCAUCAUGCUGGAUUAGAUGAUAUAUUAGUGACUAUCUUUUAUGUGAAUACUUAACCAUAGAAAUAGCAUUUUGUGCAGGGCAUUAUAAAUCUUUUUAGUUGUAUUUUGUGCAGGGCAAUAUGUAAGGAUAUUUUUUGUUACUUGACUUUUUAUGUAUGAGUCAUGAACCAUAGCAUUUGAAAUA